rnacentral:rRNA from 1 species
ACGCUGGCGGCGUGCCUAAUACAUGCAAGUCGAGCGAAGUUUUUCUGGUGCUUGCACUAGAAAAACUUAGCGGCGAACGGGUGAGUAACACGUAAAGAACCUGCCACAUAGACUGGGACAACUAUUGGAAACGAUAGCUAAUACCGGAUAACAGCAUCAACUGCAUGGUUGAUGUUUGAAAGUUGGUUUUGCUAACACUAUGAGAUGGCUUUGCGGUGCAUUAGCUAGUUGGUGGGGUAAAGGCCUACCAAGGCGACGAUGCAUAGCCGACCUGAGAGGGUGAUCGGCCACACUGGGACUGAGACACGGCCCAGACUCCUACGGGAGGCAGCAGUAGGGAAUCUUCCGCAAUGGGCGAAAGCCUGACGGAGCAACGCCGCGUGAGUGAAGAAGGAUUUCGGUUCGUAAAGCUCUGUUGUUAGGGAAGAAUGAUUAUGUAGUAACUAUACAUAGUAGAGACGGUACCUAACCAGAAAGCCACGGCUAACUACGUGCCAGCAGCCGCGGUAAUACGUAGGUGGCAAGCGUUGUCCGGAAUUAUUGGGCGUAAAGCGCGCGCAGGUGGUUUAAUAAGUCUGAUGUGAAAGCCCACGGCUCAACCGUGGAGGGUCAUUGGAAACUGUUAAACUUGAGUGCAGGAGAGAAAAGUGGAAUUCCUAGUGUAGCGGUGAAAUGCGUAGAGAUUAGGAGGAACACCAGUGGCGAAGGCGGCUUUUUGGCCUGUAACUGACACUGAGGCGCGAAAGCGUGGGGAGCAAACAGGAUUAGAUACCCUGGUAGUCCACGCCGUAAACGAUGAGUGCUAAGUGUUGGUCUCAUAAGAGAUCAGUGCUGCAGCUAACGCAUUAAGCACUCCGCCUGGGGAGUACGACCGCAAGGUUGAAACUCAAAGGAAUUGACGGGGACCCGC